rnacentral:rRNA from 1 species
AACGCUAGCUACAGGCUUAACACAUGCAAGUCGAGGGGUAACAAGAGGAAAGCUUGCUUUCCUUGUUGACGACCGGCGCACGGGUGAGUAACGCGUAUCCAACCUGCCUAUAACUAGGGAAUAACCUUGCGAAAGUAAGACUAAUGCCCUAUGACUUCCUUUGAUGACAUCAAAUUAGGAAUAAAGAUUUAUCGGUUAUAGAUGGGGAUGCGUCUGAUUAGCUUGUUGGCGGGGUAACGGCCCACCAAGGCAACGAUCAGUAGGGGUUCUGAGAGGAAGGUCCCCCACAUUGGAACUGAGACACGGUCCAAACUCCUACGGGAGGCAGCAGUGAGGAAUAUUGGUCAAUGGACGAGAGUCUGAACCAGCCAAGUAGCGUGCAGGAUGACGGCCCUAUGGGUUGUAAACUGCUUUUAUAAGGGAAUAAAGUGAGUCUCGUGAGACUUUUUGCAUGUACCUUAUGAAUAAGGACCGGCUAAUUCCGUGCCAGCAGCCGCGGUAAUACGGAAGGUCCGGGCGUUAUCCGGAUUUAUUGGGUUUAAAGGGAGCGUAGGCCGGAGAUUAAGCGUGUUGUGAAAUGUAGAUGCUCAACAUCUGCACUGCAGCGCGAACUGGUUUCCUUGAGUACGCACAAAGUGGGCGGAAUUCGUGGUGUAGCGGUGAAAUGCUUAGAUAUCACGAAGAACUCCGAUUG